rnacentral:tRNA from 1 species
GGAGCGAUGGUGUAUUUGAUUAUCACGUCUGUCUAACAUUGCAUUAUUCACAGACGGACCUCAGUUCGAACCUGGGUCGCUUCA